ACUGACUACACAGCUCCCUGGCCCGGGAAGGCUAUGAAACAGGCAACAUGGACAAUUUAAAGGUGUACAACAUCCGAGGUUCCAUUUCACCCUCAGGCAGCACGGAGUGGACAAGAGAUGGGGUCUCACUUUGUCACCCAGGCUGGGCUCAAACUCUUGGCUUCAAGCGAUCUUCUCGCCUUGGUCUCCCAAAGUGCUGGGAUUACAGGCUUGAACUACUGUACUCGACUGACUUUUCCUAUUUCUAAUGUCAGCAUGAAGAACACAAGAAGUCAGCUUCAAAGGCAUCCAGCAAUAUCAUCUAUUCUCCACUUUGCUAAAUCUUACCUUUGGCAGAGCCUUCAUGAACAAGAUUGGUACCCAUAUAAAAGAAGCCCGAGAGAGCUAUCUUGACCCUCCUACCAUGUGAAGACACAACAAGAUAAAGAGAAACUUCUUUUGUGACCUUUGGAAGGUAAUCAGUCUUUGGCUGGAUCUGUUUUCUUCCACACUCAAGAACACAGUCAGCAUGCAGUCAGCGAUCUAGGAGCCAAAAUCUGCAUUUGGCUGGCUUUGGGAGUCUAUAUUAGGUGUAAAAUGCUGUUCUAAAACAAUUAAAAUGGCAAUGCUUUCAUUUCCUGACUGGAUUGAACAAAACAACAUAAAUGAUUUAAGCCAUUUGUGAAAUGAAUCGGAAGGGAAUUUACCAAAAAGGUGAUUCUGUCCAAUUUAACCAAGGCCACAGCUCUCAAGAGCCUCCAGAGAACUCUUGAUAUUGCUAAAAGGCUGGCAACUACAUCCUCAGUUACGGGACCACCAGAGCACCUGUAUGGUGCACUUGCCUGAAAAGAAUUGUGUUUUGGUGGGGGCUGGGAGGGUAGAGAGAAUGGAGGUAAAGAUUGGGGGUGGUGGAACAGUGUGAUCAGUGUUCUAAGAAGCCUGGAGCCAAGAAAACCCAGAAAAGGAGUCAAAGAACAGGUUGAAUUGUUUCCGUCUUACAAGAGAAAUUGCAGAGUUUAGAGCAUUAUAUCUCGUAAUGCCACAUUCAGAUACCACCUAGCAUUUGGGAUUCUCAGUUCCUCCCAAAGCCUAUCACCAUAAAGCCUAGCAGCAGCACCAACUGAAGCUAACUCAGGAUGGAUUUUCUUAAGGUGAGAAACAGAAUGAAUGUCUCUAUGUCAACUAAGAUCUGGGGAAAUCUGGUGGAUGUGGGGCAGUUAAUGAUGUCAACACCCUGGAAGACAGGAGUUGAAGUGAUGGUUUUUUUUCUCUCCCUAGGCCAGCUCCCUUAUAUUCAGGGCUCAUGCACCUACCCUGCCAAGCCCAGAUUCAAAGCCUAGAUAUCAAGAUCAUCCAACAACUCGUCCCUUUUCUCUUUACCUGUCUUCUAAACACAUCAAUUCUUUAUUUGAGCCAAAAAGUCUAUUUGCUUUCCUUCCCUCACAGCAUGCACUCAUUUAAGAUUUAAGAACCUACUUUUUUAAAGGUUCUGUGAUGGCUGCAGCAGAUGUGAACAAGGCAUAGUCCCUGACUUAACUCAAGGGGAUGGCAUUCGAUGGUGAGAGGGAGCUAGGGAAGCGUUAGAUAAGUUUACCGGUAUCUAUGUUAAAACAUGGAGAAAGAUCAUCACAAAAAUCUGUGGAGGUUCAAAGAAAAAAAAAAAUCCCAGAUGAGGAGAAUGUGGAAAAGCUUCUGGGAAAAGAAAGGAAUUAGGCUCUGAAGAAUAGAUAAGAUUUUGAGAAGCAGAGAUUAGAGAAAGUGGGGUGGGGGGAAAUUAUAGUCCAAAAAAAAGAGCUCAGGCAAAUGCCUACUGAAAAGACAUUACAACAUCAUUGUAUCAGUGGGGGAGAGAUAACAGCUCCUCUCUCAUCCUCCAAAGAUAGGUCCAGAUCCAGGUAAUUUCCUCCUUUGCCAGCAUAGAGAAUGUUACUCACUAACUGAAUCAUAUUCUCAGGAAUUUGGAAUCUUCAAAGCAGUAAAAAGUUGUGGUCUCCUAGAAACUCUUUUCUUCCCAGAAGUUCAAAGAACUAGCAUUUGACGAAAAUGUCUUUUUCAUGUUAGCUUCCUUUUUGUCUUCCUCUCUCUGAGUCUCCCUUCUACUCUGCUAGCACUAUUCCCACAAGGGACAAGAUGGCCUGGGGCUCCAGCAGCCAGUUAGGACCAUGAGGGAAUCUUGAGAGUGGAAAUCACGUGCCAAGGAUGGCAAAGCAUAAAGAGAGAAGAAGCCUUGGCCUCUGGUAACUGUGGAGCAGUCACACCAGCCCACAGCCCUGGAGACUACUUACAGAUUGUGUGUGUGUGUGUGUGUGUGUGUGUGUG
rnacentral:lncRNA from 1 species